rnacentral:rRNA from 1 species
GAUGAACGCUGGCGGCGUGCCUAAUACAUGCAAGUCGAGCGAACGGACGAGAAGCUUGCUUUUCUGAUGUUAGCGGCGGACGGGUGAGUAACACGUGGAUAACCUACCUAUAAGACUGGGAUAACUUCGGGAAACCGGAGCUAAUACCGGAUAAUAUUUUGAACCGCAUGGUUCAAAAGUGAAAGACGGUCUUGCUGUCACUUAUAGAUGGAUCCGCGCUGCAUUAGCUAGUUGGUAAGGUAACGGCUUACCAAGGCAACGAUGCAUAGCCGACCUGAGAGGGUGAUCGGCCACACUGGAACUGAGACACGGACCAGACGCCUACGGGAGGGAGCAGUAGGGAAUAUUCCGCAAUGGGCGAAAGCCUGACGGAGCAACGCCGCGUGAGUGAUGAAGGUCUUCGGAUCGUAAAACUCUGUUAUUAGGGAAGAACAUAUGUGUAAGUAACUGUGCACAUCUUGACGGUACCUAAUCAGAAAGCAACGGCUAACUACGUG